GAUAUACUCCCUCCGUCCUAAAAUUCUUGUCUUGGAUUUGUCUAGAUACGGAUGUAUCUAAUACUAAAACGUGACUUGAUACAUCCGUAUCUAGACAAAUCUAAGACAAGAAUUUUGGGACGGAGGGAGUAGUUA
rnacentral:pre_miRNA from 1 species